rnacentral:rRNA from 1 species
GACGAACGCUGGCGGCGUGCUUAACACAUGCAAGUCGAACGGAAAGGCCCUGCUUGCAGGGUACUCGAGUGGCGAACGGGUGAGUAACACGUGGGUGCUCUGCCCUGCACUUCGGGAUAAGCCUGGGAAACUGGGUCUAAUACCGGAUAGGAGCCAUUUUUUGUGUGAUGGUUGGAAAGUUUUUUCGGUGUAGGAUGAGCUCGCGGCCUAUCAGCUUGUUGGUGGGGUAAUGGCCUACCAAGGCGGCGACGGGUAGCCGGCCUGAGAGGGUGGACGGCCACAUUGGGACUGAGAUACGGCCCAGACUCCUACGGGAGGCAGCAGUGGGGAAUAUUGCACAAUGGGCGCAAGCCUGAUGCAGCGACGCCGCGUGGGGGAUGACGGCCUUCGGGUUGUAAACUCCUUUCGCUAGGGACGAAGCUUUUGUGACGGUACCUAGAGAAGAAGCACCGGCUAACUACGUG